rnacentral:ncRNA from 13 species
CCAACGGCCCUCUUUAGGGCCACAUACAUCCCUAUAAUCCAAAAU